rnacentral:rRNA from 1 species
UACAGAGGUCCCGAGCGUUGUUCGGAUUCACUGGGCGUAAAGGGUGCGUAGGUGGCUUGGUAAGUUUGAUGUGAAAGCUCAGGGCUCAACCCUGAAAUGGCAUUGAAUACUACUGAGCUGGAGGUUUGGAGGGGGGGCUGGAAUUCUCGGUGUAGCAGUGAAAUGCGUAGAUAUCGAGAGGAACACCAGUGGCGAAGGCGAGUCCCUGGACAACACCUGACACUGAGGCACGAAAGCUAGGGGAGCAAACGGG